AGUAUAAUCAAUAAACUUUUGAUGGGCGAAUGCAAGAAAAAAUGUGAUACUGAAUUUCCACAUAUGUUUUCAGAGAACCCAGCCAACUAUGAAGUUCCUUGUCUUUGCCUUCAUCUUGGCUCUCAUGGUUUCCAUGAUUGGAGCUGAUUCAUCUGAAGAGGUGAGUCAUUUUCAUUCACUGGAAAACUUGUUUUCAGUUUUGUCCUCCCUACAUUUGUAUUGAAUUAUUAAACUUUUCUUCAUUUUUCACAGAAAUUUUUGCGUAGAAUUGGAAGAUUCGGUGUAAGUGUUCUCUGAUAAUGCUGUGUAGUCCAAAUAAAUUGUGUUCUCUGAUUACUUAUUCUUCUAGAAGAACCAAUACUUAUUUCUCAAAUAUGUGUAGUAGUUGCAAAAGUGUGCUUUGUUUUCCUCUAUUUAUGAUACACAGGUAACAGUCACAAAUGUAUUGUGUCCUAACAACAUUUAAGUUGAAACUCAUAGUGCCAACCUGAAGAAACCAGUUACUCCCUGAGCCCUCAAGUAUCAUCUCCUAAGUAAUCACUUUGACCUAAAAAAUAGUUGAAAUUCUAAUUCUGUUAAUUAUAAUAUAUGCCUCAUGGAGCAUAAAGGCUGAUAAUUACACAUAAAAUAUGGUAAGUUUGCACC
rnacentral:lncRNA from 10 species